GAUGAACGCUGGCGGCGUGCCUAAUACAUGCAAGUCGAGCGAACAGACGAGGAGCUUGCUCCUUUGACGUUAGCGGCGGACGGGUGAGUAACACGUGGGUAACCUACCUAUAAGACUGGGAUAACUUCGGGAAACCGGAGCUAAUACCGGAUAAUAUUUCGAACCGCCUGGUUCGAUAGUGAAAGAUGGCUCUGCUAUCACUUAUAGAUGGACCUGCGCCGUAUUAGCUAGUUGGUAAGGUAACGGCUUACCAAGGCAACGAUACGUAGCCGACCUGAGAGGGUGAUCGGCCACACUGGAACUGAGACACGGUCCAGACUCCUACGGGAGGCAGCAGUAGGGAAUCUUCCGCAAUGGGCGAAAGCCUUACGGAGCGACGCCGCGUGAGUGAUGAAGGUCUUCGGAUCGUAAAACUCGGUUAUUAGGGAAGAACAAACGUGUAAGUAACUGUGCACGUCUUGACGGUACCUAAUCAGAAAGCCACGGCUAACUACGUG
rnacentral:rRNA from 1 species